rnacentral:rRNA from 1 species
GACGAACGCUGGCGGCGUGCCUAAUACAUGCAAGUAGGACGCACAGCCUAUACCGUAGCUUGCUACACCAUAGGCUGUGAGUUGCGAACGGGUGAGUAACGCGUAGGUAACCUGCCUAUUAGAGGGGGAUAACUAUUGGAAACGAUAGCUAAUACCGCAUAACAGUAUGUAACACAUGUUAGAUGCUUGAAAGAUGCAAUUGCAUCGCUAGUAGAUGGACCUGCGUUUGUAUUAGCUAGUAGGUAGGGUAAAGGCCUACCUAGGCAACGAUACAUAGCCGACCUGAGAGGGUGAUCGGCCACACUGGGACUGAGACCACGGCCCCAGACUCCUACGGGAGGCAGCCAGUAGGGAAUUCUUUCGGCAAUGGGGGGAAACCCU